rfam:Pristionchus pacificus strain PS312 contig406, whole genome shotgun sequence.
UCUUCAUUUCACGUGCUCUCUCACCGGUUAGAGAAAUGAAAGAGCACGUGAAAUGAAGAGA